CACGUGGGUAACCUGCCUGUAAGACUGGGAUAACUCCGGGAAACCGGGGCUAAUACCGGAUGGUUGUUUGAACCGCAUGGUUCAAACAUAAAAGGUGGCUUCGGCUACCACUUACAGAUGGACCCGCGGCGCAUUAGCUAGUUGGUGAGGUAACGGCUCACCAAGGCAACGAUGCGUAGCCGACCUGAGAGGGUGAUCGGCCACACUGGGACUGAGACACGGCCCAGACUCCUACGGGAGGCAGCAGUAGGGAAUCUUCCGCAAUGGACGAAAGUCUGACGGAGCAACGCCGCGUGAGUGAUGAAGGUUUUCGGAUCGUAAAGCUCUGUUGUUAGGGAAGAACAAGUACCGUUCGAAUAGGGCGGUACCUUGACGGUACCUAACCAGAAAGCCACGGCUAACUACGUGCCAGCAGCCGCGGUAAUACGUAGGUGGCAAGCGUUGUCCGGAAUUAUUGGGCGUAAAGGGCUCGCAGGCGGUUUCUUAAGUCUGAUGUGAAAGCCCCCGGCUCAACCGGGGAGGGUCAUUGGAAACUGGGGAACUUGAGUGCAGAAGAGGAGAGUGGAAUUCCACGUGUAGCGGUGAAAUGCGUAAAGAUGUGGAGGAACACCAGUGGCGAAGGCGACUCUCUGGUCUGUAACUGACGCUGAGGAGCGAAAGCGUGGGGAGCGAACAGGAUUACAUACCCUGGUAGUCCACGCCGUAAACGAUGAGUGCUAA
rnacentral:rRNA from 1 species